rnacentral:tRNA from 1 species
GGAUUUCGCCGUCUUCGUUUCUCUUUCUUCGCGGACGAACACGCGCCAGGGGCUGAGCGCUGUGCGAUGCAUCGACUUCACGUCGGGUGCGCGCCGGCAUGUCUCUCGUGUUAGGGGCUUGUAGCUCAGUUGGUUAGAGCGCGCGCUUGAUAAGCGUGAGGUCGGAAGUUCAAGUCUUCCCAGGCCCACCAUUUUGAUCGAGUGCGGAGCAUUCGUCUUCUGGUACGGGGCCAUAGCUCAGCUGGGAGAGCGCGUGCUUUGCAAGCAUGAGGUCGUCGGUUCGAUCCCGUCUGGCUCCACCAGAUGGUUUGAUCACCAACGGCGUUACCGUCGUCCGCGAAACAUCACUUCGCACGCAUUGGUCCGGAUGGACGGUGACGUGCGUGUUUUCUGACAUCGUAAAGAGGAGAUCGAUCCGAGUUUGGAUCCAGCGAAGCAAUUCGCGGGUACCAUUCCUAAUCUCCAGAUCGUUUUCGGCGCUCGCGCAUCGCAGCUCAUCGCAAGAUGAGUGAGGUGAGCGAGUUGUAAAACGAUCUUUGUAGCGAAGCUUGACCGCCUCGCUAUCGGGCCGAUCUUACGAAGCAAGCUGGUCUUUCUAGUCAAUGUCCGGCUGCGCAAUCGCAUUCAUCGAGGAUGCGCGCCUGAGACUUCGGUCUUUGGGCAAUUGUGCAGACAACAUUCUGCCGAGUGUGUGGACAUUGAUAAUGAGAGCAAUCAAG